UCCAAAAAAGAGGUUGGUUUCUUAAUAUUUAACACUACAUGCAGUGCUGACCUUAAUCUAUUACCCUCGACUGAUGGCU
rnacentral:snoRNA from 1 species